AUGCUUUCUAGGUGAAGCAAUUGACAGGUGCUGGUGUUUGAACAGUUUGAACAGAUAUGUCCCAAAAGAAGAAAUUGAAGAGUUCUCUAUUUUCCCCCGAAGAUCAAAGUGUGAAAAGGUUGAAAUCAUACUGACACUAAAACCCGUGAAUAACUCAACUGAAGGCAUCCAGCGCUGCUUGAGUCCAGAAACAAAACAAGGAAUUAACCUGCAGACUUGCUGGAAAAACAAGAACAUCAACAACACUCCCACUUUAAAGAUAUCCAGCUGCUUCCAGAUAUAAAGCCAUAAAUGAAAGUUGCAGAAGAGCACGAGAGGACAGAAGGGGGGAUCUGGAAACUCUAGAAACCCUGUGAGUGGAAUGGCAUGCUGCCAUAUGCUCAUUCACUGGCCAAUCAGAAUCCUAGGUUUUGAUUUUUGCCUAAAACAGCUGAUGGGAAAUCACAGAAGACCUGAAAACAU